rfam:Dipodomys ordii contig_41758, whole genome shotgun sequence.
GGUGGCUCAGUGGUAGAGUGCUUGCCUUGUACACAUGAGACCCUGGGUUCGAUUCCUCAGCACCA